AUGCAUUUGUUGCCAAGAAAAAUUACUCAAGUAAAACUUCUCCAAUAUCAUAACCUGUGAUAUGCCAGAUUGUAAUGAUAUGCCGAUAUGCUGAACACGUCUCGACACUGGGAACCGAGCGAUUCUCUCAAUUCGCGCAGAUGCCCCCACUGAGUUCCACCUCUCCCAGACAACACCGGCACACGGAUAUUUAAGAAGGUCGCAAGCAGAAAUCAGUCAGUCCUGAACGAUCGUUCUGGGCUCCAUAACCAACCAAGUGAAGUGAGCGAGGCAGGCCGAGCUGAGUCGCGACGUGCACCGUUUUGACGUGAUUCGCAAACUUAGGCAGGCCAACUCGAGACGCAAGUGAGACGCCUAUCCGGGGAGGACUUCGCUGGGACGGAAUAGAAAACUGAAUUAUUAUUUUAACUUAUUUUGUAUAUAAUUUAGAAUUAAUAGAUUUGCUUUAUUUUCAA